GUCUUAUCCUUUUCGAGGAAUCCCUUUUUUUUCACGCGACCUGUGUAGGAUAAUACGAAAAUACCUCGAUAAUAUUCGUCUCUCGUGCUCCGUCGAGACUUUAACGACUGCAAAUGGGACACGAGCAACGUGCCCCCAAAAUCGCUUUCUCCCGACCGUGACGAUUUCGUUUACGAGCGAAGACAGACAUCGGGGCAUGAAGAAACUCGCGAAAUCAUUGAUGAGAUUAAUGUUUCAGGCGAUCAGUCAGGGUUCAGAAUCCAUGCGUUAUCCUCUACUCGAGAGAAGGAUACAAAAGGCAUUUUCGACAUCUCCCGCGUAUACAGUACCUCUUCUCCUCGGCCUUUCUCCGUCACACUCUCCCUCUCUCUUGCUUUCUCUAUGAAGUUAGGGGAGUUAGGGUAGCACGGAAAAUCAAUAAUUACGAAGCGAGGGGCGAUGACUCAAAUGGUGAAAUCAAGGUCUCUCAAAGUAAAGUUAUUCUCCGUAUCCUCCGCUACAGCCACUUUGUCUUCGUCUUUGGCGCAGCUUCGAAACUAUUCGCUUGAUCACGGGAACGUCGCGAUGAUCGUAAAGACUAGCAGCACGCGGGGAAACUUGCACCUAUCAGACGCAUUCGAGCACGUGCCCUUCAGAGCUCUGUGAUAUAAGCCAGAGUUUACGUCGCCAUGUGCUGCUCCCUAUCUUUUUUAAAUUACUUCACUUCUUUUUCCUUUUCUAACUAACUUUUUCAAAACUGAUUGUUUCUUUACGUACUUUAAAUUUCUGAAGUAUAUUGAUAUUUUGACUAUAUGAUUUUACAAACAAACUUACUCACCGUUAAAAUAAAUUUUUUUAGAAUAAUCUUUUACGAUCUUUUUAUUAGUCUUUAAAUUAGAUAUAUUAUUUAUUAUAUCUAAUUUAUAUAUAAUACUAAGUGAUUAUUUUAAUUGUGUCACAAUUAAUGGUGUCCUAAAUUAAUAAUUUCCACUAAUGUGUACAAAUAAUCACGAAGUGAUUGAAUUUAAUUACAUCGCAAUUAAUUGUAUCCUAAAUUAGUAAUUUCCACUAUUAACAAUAUUUUGAAUUAAAUAUAAUUCGAUAAAUACGAUACGAACCUGACCCACUUGUCUAAAUUGAAACGUUUAAUCGAUCGAUCGAAACGAGAUGAGCAGUCGCGAGAUGAAUAAGAAUCAAAAAGAAAAAAAAGAAAAAAGGAAGAAAGAAAUCAAAGAAAAUUUACCCGUUACCCGCCAAUAGGGAGACAUUCCACGGUCGUGACAGGUGGAAGUUCGAGUGCAUUCCAGGGUCUUAGGGCAGCGACGACACGAUGUGCCUAGACGGGGAAAUUUGGGGUUGAUACCACGUCAUACGUAUAAGCCGCAGCUGUCAGCAGCUAGAAACGUGACUAGCAUCCCAGCCACAUCACGGUACCUUAUUACCACCAUGCGGCUCUGCUGCCUGUCCUCAUUAUCCCCUUAACGUUUUCUCCGACUGAAGCUGCGAAGAUGAACAGUUCAAAAAUUCAAUCUUCCUUGUCACAUGUCACGCGGAUGCGUUGACCUACAUCUUCUUCGAGAACGAAAAAAUUUUAGAAAUAAAAUAUAUAUAUAUACAUAAACUAUUAAAACCAAUUCUCAACGUUUAUUCCCAAGAAUUUACUUGUCAAUAUUUCACAACGAUCGAUCAUUAAAAGAUUCGUGGUCGCAGAUAAAGCGAGUAGCACGACGGAAAUCUCGGUGAAUAAACGUAGGGCCGUGAUAAGUGGGCACGAUUAAUCCCAUACUUACAAGCGUGACGGCGGUACAGGCUUGCCUGCCGGACUCCACAGACCUAUAGUUUUAAUCGCAGCCUCGUUCGCCCGUGCCAUUCGCGCCGCUCGUUCCCGUACCUUUCGAUUUAGCGACAGGAUCGCGUGCACGUCGUGCUACUUCCUCUUUUCUUCUCUUCUUUUUAUACUUCGUCUCUCUCUUUCUCUCUCUCUUUCUUUUUCUUUCUCUCCGCUCCGUUUUUUAAAAUAUUUUCUCUUUUUUUCUCUUUUUUUUUUUUUUCACUCAACACAGGCAUACACACGCGCGUUACACGAGCGUAAGAGCGUGUUGACACGCCAUAAAACCGCUAUCGGGAAAUCCGUCGGCCGCAAAAACCACCCUUUCCGCGUUGAAACCGCGCGGCAGGCAGGGUUGGCCUGGCUAAUAAAAAAAUAAACUGCCCUGUAACUCAAUUUUACGCUGCCUUUGCGACCGCACGCAUAAAAAGGACCUUUACUCGCGCGAGGCAGGGGCUCUACCCUCGCGUUACGGCUACAAGCGCCGCCAGUGUGUAAAUACGUGCCCCGUGAUUGUUCCCUGGGCUGUUCUCUUUUUUUAGAAUCUUUCGUCUUCUACUUAUCGACCUCUUCAAGAUCCCAUCUCCGUGGCCGAUCGAGGAUCGACCGUCACGUUCUUACACGACUACAUUCCUCCUUCUAACGGCUAUUAGAUAAAACACAUUUAGAAUUCUGCAUUCUGCGUUUUUUCCCAUCUUGUUCCCACAAGGGUUAACAGGUGUAAAGAUAUUUUUCUUUCCCGCGACGAUCAAAAGAAUCCGAUAAGGGGAUCCCCGUGCUUCGUAUCGAUUCGAUUAAAAUAAAUCCCCGACUAUUUAUUCGCCCUCACGUUGCGUGGACAUUUAAAUCUGUCCAUCGAUUAGAUAGACGUGGUUCGCGCGUUUAACCGCAAUUUCAACCGUCGAUAAUAUCUCCGAUUCGAGCACGAUGCGUGCGCGAUCGCGGAAAGGAAAAAGAGGGUGAGCGAUACGUAAGGGGUGAAGAGAAACGAGGACAGGAGAGAAAGAGAGAGAGAGAGAGACAGAGAGAAACAGAGGGAAAAAAGAGGAAAGAAUUCGGCACGCGUCGUGCAACGGGCCGAAAUGAAUAAAACAAUCCUGGUGUUUAUGUACACCUCUGGACCUCCCGCGGUGACCCUCACGUGAAAUGGCAACAAAAUAACACAAUUACACACUCGGCCACGGCCUCACCCUCGACUAGUACCCGCGCUACUCAUCCUCGUUCUCACCCCUUGGACCCCGCUCUUCUACCCUCCUUCUCUCUCUCUCUCUCUUUUUCUCUCUUUCUCUCUCUCUCUGACCCUCUCUCGCCAUUCGGGCCACGGGAUCCCAUGGCGGGGAAAGAGGG
rnacentral:lncRNA from 1 species